rnacentral:rRNA from 1 species
CUAACGUCCGUCGUGAAGAGGGAAACAACCCAGACCGCCAGCUAAGGUCCCAAAGUCAUGGUUAAGUGGGAAACGAUGUGGGAAGGCCCAGACAGCCAGGAUGUUGGCUUAGAAGCAGCCAUCAUUUAAAGAAAGCGUAAUAGCUCACUGGUCGAGUCGGCCUGCGCGGAAGAUGUAACGGGGCUAAACCAUGCACCGAAGCUGCGGCAGCGACGCUUAUGCGUUGUUGGGUAGGGGAGCGUUCUGUAAGCCUGUGAAGGUGUGCUGUGAGGUAUGCUGGAGGUAUCAGAAGUGCGAAUGCUGACAUAAGUAACGAUAAAGCGGGUGAAAAGCCCGCUCGCCGGAAGACCAAGGGUUCCUGUCCAACGUU